rnacentral:rRNA from 1 species
AGCGGCGAACGGGUGAGUAACACGUAGGUGAUCUGCCCAUCAGACGGGGACAACGAUUGGAAACGAUCGCUAAUACCGGAUAGGACGAAAGUUUAAAGGUGCUUCUGGCACCGCUGAUGGAUGAGCCUGCGGCGCAUUAGCUAGUUGGUAGGGUAAAGGCCUACCAAGGCGACGAUGCGUAGCCGACCUGAGAGGGUGAACGGCCACACUGGGACUGAGACACGGCCCAGACUCCUACGGGAGGCAGCAGUAGGGAAUCUUCGGCAAUGGGCGAAAGCCUGACCGAGCAACGCCGCGUGAAUGAUGAAGGCCUUCGGGUUGUAAAAUUCUGUUAUAAGGGAAGAACGACUUUAGUAGGAAAUGGCUAGAGUGUGACGGUACCUUAUGAGAAAGCCACGGCUAACUACGUGCCAGCAGCCGCGGUAAUACGUAGGUGGCGAGCGUUAUCCGGAAUUAUUGGGCGUAAAGAGCGCGCAGGUGGUUGAUUAAGUCUGAUGUAAAAGCCCACGGCUUAACCGUGGAGGGUCAUUGGAAACUGGUCGACUUGAGUGCAGAAGAGGGAAGUGGAAUUCCAUGUGUAGCGGUGAAAUGCGUAGAGAUAUGGAGGAACACCAGUGGCGAAGGCGGCUUCCUGGUCUGUAACUGACACUGAGGCGCGAAAGCGUGGGGAGCAAACAGGAUUAGAUACCCUGGUAGUCCACGCCGUAAGCGAUGAGUGCUAAGUGU